GAGUUUGAUCGUGGCUCAGGAUGAACGCUGGCGGCGUGCCUAAUACAUGCAAGUCGAGCGAACGGACGAGAAGCUUGCUUCUCUGAUGUUAGCGGCGGACGGGUGAGUAACACGUGGAUAACCUACCUAUAAGACUGGGAUAACUUCGGGAAACCGGAGCUAAUACCGGAUAAUAUUUUGAACCGCAUGGUUCAAAAGUGAAAGACGGUCUUGCUGUCACUUAUAGAUGGAUCCGCGCUGCAUUAGCUAGUUGGUAAGGUAACGGCUUACCAAGGCAACGAUGCAUAGCCGACCUGAGAGGGUGAUCGGCCACACUGGAACUGAGACACGGUCCAGACUCCUACGGGAGGCAGCAGUAGGGAAUCUUCCGGCAAUGGGCGAAAGCCUGACGGAGCAACGCCGCGUGAGUGAUGAAGGUCUUCGGAUCGUAAAACUCUGUUAUUAGGGAAGACAUAUGUGUAAGUACUGUGCACAUCUUGACGGUACCUAAUCAGAAG
rnacentral:rRNA from 1 species